UACGUAGGGUGCAAGCGUUGUCCGGAAUUAUUGGGCGUAAAGGGCUCGUAGGCGGUCCAUCGCGUCGGGAGUGAAAAGCUGGGGCUUAACCCCAGUCCUGCUUCCGAUACGGGUGGACUAGAGGUAGGCAGGGGAGAACGGAAUUCCUGGUGUAGCGGUGAAAUGCGCAGAUAUCAGGAGGAACACCGGUGGCGAAGGCGGUUCUCUGGGCCUUACCUGACGCUGGAGGAGCGAAAGCGUGGGGAGCGAACAGG
rnacentral:rRNA from 1 species